rnacentral:rRNA from 1 species
GAUGAACGCUGGCGGCGUGCCUAAUACAUGCAAGUCGAGCGAACAGACGAGGAGCUUGCUCCUCUGACGUUAGCGGCGGACGGGUGAGUAACACGUGGAUAACCUACCUAUAAGACUGGGAUAACUUCGGGAAACCGGAGCUAAUACCGGAUAAUAUAUUGAACCGCAUGGUUCAAUAGUGAAAGACGGUUUUGCUGUAACUUAUAGAUGGAUCCGCGCGGCAUUAGCUAGUUGGUAAGGUAACGGCUUACCAAGGCAACGAGGCGUAGCCGACCUGAGAGGGUGGUCGGCCACAUUGGAGCUGAGCCACGGUCCAGACUCCUACGGGAGGCAGCAGUAGGGAAUCGGCCGCAAUGGGCGAAAGCCUGACGGAGCAACGCCGCGUGAGUGAUGAAGGUCUUCGGAUCGUAAAACUCGGUUAUUAGGGAAGAACAAAUGUGUAAGUAACUAUGCACGUCUUGACGGUACCUAAUCAGAAAGCCACGGCUAACUACGUG